rnacentral:rRNA from 1 species
CCCGGGGCCGUCCCGCCGCCCCCGCCCGCUUACGGGAGGCAGCAGUAGGGAAUAUUGGGCAAUGGAGGCAACUCUGACCCAGCCACGCCGCGUGGAGGAUGAAGGUGCUAUGCAUUGUAAACUUCUUUUGUCAAGGGAGAAAGUGCUUGAUUAAUCAGGAUUGACGGUACUUGGCGAAUAAGCAUCGGCUAACUACGUG